AUACAGAGGGUGCAAGCGUUAAUCGGAUUCACUGGGCGUAAAGCGCGCGUAGGUGGCUAAUUAAGUCAAAUGUGAAAUCCCCGAGCUUAACUUGGGAAUUGCAUUCGAUACUGGUUAGCUAGAGUAUGGGAGAGGAUGGGAGAAUUCCAGUUGUAGCGGUGAAAUGCGUAGAGAUCUGGAGGAAUAUCGAUGGCGAAGGCAGCCAUCUGGCCUAAUACUGACACUGAGGUGCGAAAGCAUGGGGAGCAAACAGGAUUAGAUACCCUGGUAGUCCAUGCCGUAAACGAUGUCUACUAGCCGUUGGGGCCCUUGAGGCUUUAGUGGCGCAGCUAACGCGAUAAGUAGACCGCCUGGGGAGUACGGUCGCAAGACUAAAACUCAAAGGAAUUGACGGGG
rnacentral:rRNA from 1 species